CACAUACUCCCUCCGUCCCAAAAUUCUUGUCUUAGAUUUGUUUAAACACGGAUGUCCAUAUCUAGAAAAAUCUAAGACAAGAAUUUUGGGACGGAGGGAGUAUAUU
rfam:Triticum aestivum genome assembly, contig: Triticum_aestivum_CS42_TGACv1_scaffold_130582_2BL